GCCGGCGGGAACUGCCCUUUAUCUUAACCGCUAGCCGGGUUGAAGAUUCUGUUUCUGAAGGUUUAUUCCCUGCCUUUUGAUUUUAAGUUACUUGUACAGUGGAGAACGUCAACGAGAAGUAUGUCCCUUUUCCUAUCCGAUUAAAGUUGCCCGUGUGGCCUAGAAUCCAGUGUCAUUCUUGAGGGCCAGGAGGAUGCCCAAAUGCGUCUUCCAGCCCGAAGCUGCGUGGGCUCGCCCGUCGCCGAAGCCCGUCGUCGAAGCAGGACGAGGAUGAGACGAUUAGGCUGCCGCCUAAGGGUGAGGUGUCGAGUGGAGCGAGAAGCUUUCCACCCACAGUAUUCCAAGAAGUAUUAUCAGUUCCUUGCGGGUAGAGGAUGUUCCUGACACAUCUUAGCAUCUCCGAGUGCUAGAAGAAUAGAGCUGACCGUAAGGAUCAGGUGAGGAAACUGAAGCACAAGCUACACAACUCCAGUGAGAAGCAGAGCUGGAACUGAUUCCACUUGGCUGAUUUCCCAGGUCAGCUAGAUCCUACCCCUCGUAUCCUGCAGUGCUUGCUUUCAGUGAACAGAAUAUCUACAGUAUUGUUUGAAUACUCGAGACCUGGGGGGGCCCCACCAUCUGAUAUCUGAAAACAGACUUCCUGUGAAGUAGGAGUGAUGGUUUCCUGAGAACAAAUGCUUCACUAUCAAGACAUGGAAAGAUAGCACUCGGCUGCUAGUAACAAACUGCACCAAAGUUACAAAUGCAGACCAAGCCUUGGUACCUGUAGAAAUCUUCAAAGAGGGGAUAAGUUUAGAUUUCCUACUGAUUUUGGAAGAAAGGAGAUUCUGUUUUUCCUAAGGAAGCCAGUCAUCCAUGAGCAGGAGACGUGUCUUCAGAAUCUAAGAAGUGUAAUGUCCCUAAUGCUUAAACUCAUGGCAAGUCCAGAUCCAGAAAAACUGGCAGUUGUUACAAUUUAGCAAAUAACGGCGCUUAGAGGACUGAAUCAUAAGCACACCUUUCUCCUGGGGACUGGCUGGCCUGCUGCCAAAUGAUUUUGGCAGAAGAGAGAACUGUGACCAAACUGGGGAAAUGUUUGGACUCCCUCCCUCAUGCUGACACACUGAAAAAGGAAAUAAUAUUUAAAAAAGUUAUCUGGCUGCAUUUCAUGCUGCUUCAGGAUUCAGUUGAGGGUAUCGAAGAAGGACGGAAGCACGCCAGCCCACCUGAUCUCUGUACCCCCUCUGCCCUCCUCUGGAAGCAGCAGGCCCUUUAUCUGCUCCUUGGAAGGGAAGGGCCAGGUCCUAGAGGCAUCUUCGAUUUGCCAAUAGCUCUAUUCUCCACACGGAUACUGCCUUCACAGUGUAUGACUCUGGACCAGGGUUUGGGAUUGGUCCAGGGAAAAGCUGUAACUUUGAGUGGCUCCUGAUCCUCUCUUUCCCCUUCAGGCUAUUUCUGGGUCACCUGGAGAGUGAGGGACUGGAGCAGGAGGGACCAGGCCCAUGUGCAGCAGGCUCGGUCCCCGGCUGCAUCAGAGCAGCUCAGCAAGCAGCCUCACCGAUUACCCUGUCUUACGCACAAAGGGAGCUAGACUCAGCUUCUCGCCUUUGGAUACCAAAAGCAUCAGGCAGUGGGAGGUGGAGGAGUGUCUCAGGCCAAAUGAAGCACCUCAGGAUAAGGGCCAGACCCUACGUGCAUCUGAAGCAGGAAGAGGCCAAGGCCUUCACUGAGGAGAUGGAUGGGGCAGCACCUCAAAGACGGUGGGCAAGUAACUAACCCUGUUGGUCUCUAGGAGGGGCCCUGCCAGUCACUGUCUACCCAGUUCAAACGACAUAUUUCAGCAUCAUGAAAAAUAGCAAACAAAUAUGGACGAUAUGAGUCAAUUUUUGUUUAAAAGGAAAACGCAAAGACACGUUAAAAAAUGGAUAUUUUUUAAAAGUACACUGCUAUAUGUGAUUUUAAUUUUAUGUUUGCCUAUUAUUAUACAAGCAUCGCUUUUGUAAUGAGAAAAACGAGACUUUUAAUAAAGCCUUUGCUAAUUCUUAUGUAAAAUAUAGGGAAAAGAUUAGCGGAGAUCAUCUAGUUCUAUUAGACAAAUAAUAACUUUCCUUCUGAAAAUAGUUAAACCUAAGGUGAAACAAUUAAAGAAUAAUUACUACAUUUAAUAAUUAUUGUCAGGGCAGCGUAAAAGUAGUUUCAAAUUUUUCCUUGUAGGUUGUAUUAUUAAAAAACCCAACCCCCCCACCUUAAGAAAAAAAAACCUCUAAAUGCCUCUCCAUCCCCCAACCCUUCCUUUGUCACCAUCUGGCUGGAGAAAAUCUUCCUGGAGCUCCUUACCUUCAGACUCUAGUU